rnacentral:rRNA from 1 species
GAGGGUGCAAGCGUUGUUCGGAAUUACUGGGCGUAAAGCGCGUGUAGGCGGCUCUGCAAGUCAGGUGUGAAAUCCCACGGCUCAACCAUGGAAGUGCACUUGAAACUGCAGGGCUAGAGUCCUGGAGAGGAAGGUGGAAUGCUUGGUGUGGAGGUGAAAUUCGUAGAUAUCAAGCGGAACACCGGUGGCGAAGGCGGCCUUCUGGACAGUGACUGACGCUGAGACGCGAAAGCGUGGGGAGCAAACAGG